AACACGCCCCUUUCGGGGGGAGUGGCAGACGGGUGAGUAACGCGUGGGAACGUGCCCUUCAGUUCGGAAUAAACCAGGGAAACUUGGGCUAAUACCGGAUAUGUGCGAGAGCAGAAAGAUUUAUCGCUGAAGGAUCGGCCCGCGUCUGAUUAGCUAGUUGGUGGGGUAAUGGCCCACCAAGGCGACGAUCAGUAGCUGGUCUGAGAGGAUGAUCAGCCACAUUGGGACUGAGACACGGCCCAAACUCCUACGGGAGGCAGCAGUGGGGAAUAUUGGACAAUGGGCGCAAGCCUGAUCCAGCCAUGCCGCGUGAGUGAUGAAGGCCUUAGGGUUGUAAAGCUCUUUCGUCCGGGACGAUAAUGACGGUACCGGAAGAAGAGGCCCCGGCUAACUUCGUGCCAGCAGCCGCGGUAAUACGAAGGGGGCUAGCGUUGUUCGGAAUCACUGGGCGUAAAGGGCGCGUAGGCGGCUUUGUAAGUCGGGGGUGAAAGCCUGUGGCUCAACCACAGAAUUGCCUUCGAUACUGCAUGGCUUGAGACCGGAAGAGGUUAGUGGAACUGCGAGUGUAGAGGUGAAAUUCGUAGAUAUUCGCAAGAACACCAGUGGCGAAGGCGGCUGACUGGUCCGGUUCUGACGCUGAGGCGCGAAAGCGUGGGGAGCAAACAGGAUU
rnacentral:rRNA from 1 species